GACUUGCAUACAAAAGAAGAGAAAUUUAUUUACUAUGUGUAGUUCUUGUUUGUGUGAACUCUUAAUCAUUUUCUAUUUAUUUCAAGUUCUUCAUAACAUUACUGUUGCAGAAUACUUUCACUGGAAUAUGCUACGAAACCUUGUUGGCAUCUAUUAUGAACAAAGUCAACUUGACAUGGCAAUUCUGCAUUACAAGCAAGCUAUCAACUAUGAUUCUACCUUUAUUGAAGCUUACAAUAAUCUGGGGAAUGCUCUCAAAGACGCUGGACAUUAUAGGGUGACUUUUUAAUUUGGAUAUUU